rfam:Brachypodium distachyon strain Bd21 chromosome 2, whole genome shotgun sequence.
CUAGCACUUCCUCCGUCUAACAAAGGAUGUCUCAACUUUGACUGAAUUUGAAUGCAUCUAUACACAAAGUCAUGUCUACAUACAUCCAAUUUUUGACAAACAUGAGGCAUCUUUUGUUGGACGGAGAGAGUACUAA